rnacentral:lncRNA from 1 species
CAUUAGCCCACAGAGCUAAAGACUAUAGGCCCUAUCUGUAUGAUCUCACCAGUCCUCAGGUCAGGUUCAUCAUGGGGGGGGAAGGAAUCACUAGUCCUCAGGUCAGGUUCAUCAUGGGGGGGAAGGAAUCACUAGUCCUCAGGUCAGGUCAGGUUAAUCUAUCCUCAUGGGGGGGGGAAGGAAUCACUAGUCCUCAUAUAUGAGUCAAAGAGAGACCGUCAGCAGACAUGGAAGGAUGUGACGUCACCCUAUUCUCUAUUUAGUGCACAACUUUUGUCCAGAACUCUAUUGGUCCCUAUGGAAC